CGUCAUCUCAUGAGGAUCUUCCUCUCCCUUGGAAUCUUGUUGCUAUUUGUUGUGGCCUUGUGCUCUGGAACAUAUUUCAGGCUUAUGGCUUGCACAACAGACAUAAAAUAUUCUAGUUUCAUGUCAAAGUCUUGUGUGGAGAGUACAUUUU